UUGCAGGAAGAACUCCACAACAGGAAACAGCUUCAAAGUAUAUUUGUACCCAGUACUGCUGAGAGUACCUUCACAACGCUGACUUUACACAACUUGAGUCACACGACCAACUAUUCCACACUGAAUAUUACAGAACAGGACUAAACAUCAAAUGAGGCAACGUCCACGGGGUCCUGUUACAAAUGUGACCACUAGUAAGCCUUUAGGUUCCAGUUCCUUCGUCCUCUGAGGGACAACCUGAGUUAAUGAGAGAGCACAAAGGAUACAAGAGCUGGCAGACUUACUUGCUAUGUCUUUGGGGAAUACAAAGGUUUGUUUUAAUGAACAUGUAUUGAAUGAUUCAAUGCUGAACUGAAACAGUAAGCACAGUGAACUCAGCCUAUCUAGACACCUACCUGCCUUGAUAUAUAUAUCAAUUUUAAACACCUGUCAUCCAGAGGUUAGUUUGUAAGAGAGAAAAACUAUUUAAGACACUUAGUUGCAAAGAUCUGGAUUGCUGUUUCAUCCAAGGUCAUAAGCAAAAAUACUCUUUUUCACUCCUGUUUUUGAAGAAUUUGGGCAUAAUUUACACACAGUUUUAGAGGUCUGGUAGAAUGUCCCAGAAGACACAGUGAUGAUAUCACAGCAAUAUGAUCACUUGAAAUAAUUAAACUAUCUCAAGAGCAUUAAGUCCAUCCUCAUUCCAUACUAGAGAAUGCAAAAGUAUACAGAUGUAGAAGUGUGGUUUGGGAGAAGCAGCUUCCUAAAAACAUACCUGAAAAUGAACAAACUACUCCAAUUCAUGUGUACCUUUCUCAGAGAUUGUCAAGCCCUAGGAUUUUUACAGCAACCUGUUUGAAAGAACCCACGUGACUGAUUUCAGUAUGUUAUACCCUGUUAUUGACUGUUUUCCACAUAUUCUUACCAAUCUCUACCAGCAACUUAAUUUUGCAGUUGUUUCAGCUCCCAACCUCACAGAAAAUUGUAAAGUUAGGUGUAUCUUUAGCACUAUUAAUUCAUCUGCAUCCUACUUUCCCUGCCACAUGUGAGAAGCUGUGUUGCCAUUCUGCUUGCUCUUCCACCAGUCAUCCAUUUCUCUAAUUUUGUACCUUCAGACAAAGACAAAUAACACAGGAAGGAGACUCUCAUCAACUAUGUGAUAAUUAAUCUUCAUAAAAUUGUUAAACAAUGAAAUUCCUAGCUCAUGCAACAGUUCAGCAUCUGCCAAAAUAAGUGUCACUUUCAAAAAGUGAUGGGAAAAUAACAUAUCAUAGGCUUAGUUACAGUUUUACUGAGGUUGGGUUUAGUUGCAGUAAGUAAUGCUAGUCUACUGUCAAGGAGUUUAUUGGCAUACACAUGCUGCUGAGGGUGUCAGACCCAGCAAAAAGGAACAGUUCCAUUUGUUGUUUCCUUCCACUUAAUGAAUCAUGCAAAGCUGACUUUCUGGUUUUGUUAUUCACCCAUAAAUGUAUUUUUAGAAAUUAACUAACCAGAUACUUUUUACAGCUAUUGAAAGUGAAGAGAAGUAACUUUCUCCCCAGGCAAGGAGGGAGCUGCUGAGGAGCAAGGGUUGUACAGCCAGAGGGAUGAGCACACAGAGCACACUGCUGAGUCCAGACAGAAGGAGGUUGCAAGAACCAAAAUAUUAAGUUUUAAUAAUUUGAGCUGUGAUGACAGAUAGGUCAUACCUUUGAGAUAUUAGCUCAACAGAGGUCAUACUAGGAAUUAUAAAGGUCCAUCUCAACAAUGAUGACUGAGUUAUCACCCUGCAUAAAAGACAGUGACAACUGUUGUCUGCAGUGAUUUAGAAAAAUGCAGAAUUAUUUAAAUGCUCGGAUUAUUUCAUCAUGAACUUGUAUAUUCUGCAUUUGUUACAUGAAAGAAAUUUGCAGAUCAGUAAAUUACAUCCUCUAGAACUGUACCUCUAUGUGCCAUCAUUUUCACAAGGUGUCCUAACAAUUUUCCAGUGCUCUUCAUUAAUUACUGUUUUUAAUCAAAUUAACAUGCUAAUGAUUUUUUGGAACAUCUAACCAGAAAUUCCCAGGGCUAGACUGCAAGACAACAAUUCUAUUCUCCUGCCAGAAAACAGUAUGAACUGUAUGUGCAGUGAUUUGUUGCCACCACCUGCACACCCUCUAGAGGUAGGGAAGGCAGCCCUCAGCUGGAAAUUAAUCCACAGAUCCAUACUUGGAACAGAUAACCUGCCAAGGCCACAUAUCCAUUAAAGUAUGCCUCACGUUUGAAGACAAGGCUGAAAGACAGAACUUUAUUACUGAGCCUUCUCAAAAUACUGACUAGAGCAGAUACCCUGUGGGGUCAUAAGGCAUGACUGGGAUACACGCUGCCCUGUGAUGAAGGCAGUCACUGGUUCACUGCAGCUAAAUAUAGACUGGGAGAUGAAUGGGCCUCUCUAAUAUACUGAUCCCAUUUCCAAAACCAAAAUACACUUCAGAUCUCUUGGUCAGUCAAGAGAUCUCUCUUCUGCAAAUUCCUUCCAAAUCUUUAUAACUGUUCACAUUUUCAGCCAGGAUAAUUUGCAUUGAAAUCUUCCUUCAUAGAGAUUUUAUACUUAAGACAGAGAAGAAUACAAUUUUGUCAUGGAUUCAUAAGCUUGAAAAACACCAUCAAAAUUUCAUAAAAUCAUAUUUCUUAAAUAAAUGAGUUCUCUGCUAGUAAAUGUUAUCACUCAGGUAGAGAUCAUAUAUGAAUUGUCACUGUUUUAUCUUAACAUACCUGAGUUCUCAGUCACUAUCCAUUACAGUAUUUAACUCCUAAAGUUUGUGAUACAGGCAAGCUAAAAAAAUGCCAUGAACUUUCAUUGUGGUGAGAUAAUUUACAGAUAUGGACAUAUGAAAAAUCCUGGAGAGCAGGAUCAUACAAAGGAUUUUUCCAAGUAAAUACUUUCCUGCUGACACUUACUGGUGUGAUAUUGUGCUCAGUUCAGUACAGUUACUUCAGUUCCAGCUUUCCCAUUCAUGAACAUCAGCAAUAACAACAUUUAAUCUAAUAUUAAUAUACUUUUAGAUGCCUUUUAUAUUUCCUGUGUAUUAUUAACUCAGUUAUGGUUUCAAGGAAAAAUUCCCUGGACAAGAGUAAGACUGACUGAAUCCCCUUCUGCAGAAAAAGUCCCUGAGGACUGCAUUUCUCACCGAGUUUCUGAAUUCCAGAGGGUAUUUCAGAUGCAUCUCCCCAGGUUUUCCUCCAAGUGUAGAUACAGCCAUGCUGGAGGUCAGACACAGGACUGCAUCUUGCUGUCCAGCUGCAGCCCUUCCCAUGAAAUGACCUGUAAGAGCAGCUAAAAAGUGACCUCAGCUCCAGCAAAGAGUGGACCCAAAUGGGAAUAAACCAGCUGAGGCUCAGCUUCAGCAAGAUUUACAUGAAUAUUUACCAAAGGAAAAGCAAUCAGGAACACAAUCAGGUGGUGAGCAAAACUUUCAUGUCAUGAUAUUUCCUCAGAUCUGCAUACAGGGUCAAGACCUCGAUGGAAGAAAAAUGUAAAGGUCAAUACUAUGUUUUAUUUACAUAUAAAUCCAGUAAAUUGACUCAUACUAUCUCUUCAGCUUUCUCGCUACAGAAAACAGGUAGGAAGGGGAGGGGGGGGAUGAAUAUUAAAAAUAUAUUAUUAAUAGAAGACAAGCACAUUUCUAACCUGAAAGUAAUAUAUAGUAUCAGUCAAGUGCUGUUACAGUCAAAUAGACAUUCAUAAAUUCUCCCUUCCCUCAAUGAUUGUGUUCCCACCUAGAUAACUUCUUCUGCCUCUGCAGUGCCACAAAUGCUCUCACCAUAACUCUCCUCAUGUAAUAUCUCAAACAGCAAAAUCUCAUGCAGAGUGUCCACAUAUAACAUGGGAGCAUUGAAGAUUUCAGAUUAGUCCUUCCUCUCUCCAUGGGAGAAUUUCUCAAGUAAAACUUAGGAAGCUUUAUAAAAUCUCUGUAAUUCAGAGGAGUUUUUGCCAUCAUUCAUGAAGGAAAGAUUAUCAAUGUUGAGUUUGAUGGCUUCUAGUAAUUACUCUGUAAAUACCUAAAUCUAUUAAUAACACCACUAAAACUAAUGUCCACAAGAAUUUUCAGGACGAAAGUCAAAAUUCCUUCCAAGAGUAUUUGUAACUCAGGACCAUCAUCUGUCUCAUUGUAGCCAACAAUAAUCUCUCAACUCCAACACCCCACCCAGCAAACAAAUUAUUUUGCAAAGAAAAAUCACAAGUUUAGUCAGCAGUCAGUGUGACCUUUCAGGAAGGAUAACUCCCUUCCAGACAGUACCUCCAUCCACUAAAUGAAAUCUCUAUUUUCCAAGCUUAAGGGGAAAGAAAUACGUCUGUUUGAGCAAAUUGUAUUAUAUAAAAAUUUACAAUGCCCUCAGAUAUUAGCAAAGCUGUUUGUCUUUUGCUCUAAAUUCUGCUUCAUCUUCAGUCUGCAGAUGUGGUUGGGACAUAUCAAAGAGAGAAACAUGCACACAUUCAUCAACCAAAAGCUGAAUAAGUCACUUGAGGGCAUGCACACUUACUGUAACUAACUAUAGCUGCACCUGAAGUGUAAUGGAACCUCCUUGAAGAAGAAGCAUUAUAUUAACAUUCCUAGUAAGUGUGGCCAAAGGCAUGAGAAAGGCCUGUUGAAGUGAGGUGGGGGCUGGUAUCUCCUUCCAAGUAACAAGCAAUAGGGCAAGAGGAAGCGGCCUCAAGAUGUGCCAGGGGAGGUUUAGAUUUGAUGUUAGGAAAAAUUUCUUCACAGAAAGGACUGUCAAGCAUUGGAGCAGGCUGCUCAGGGAAGUUAUUCACUUCCUAUCCCUAUAGGCAUUUAAAAGAACUGUGGUAGACACAGAACUCAGGGAUGUGGUUCACUGGUGGAUUUAGCAGUGUUAGAUUUACAAUUGGACUCUAUGAUCUUAAACACCUUUCCCAACCUGAAUGAGUCUGUGAUUUGAUGCUCCUAAAUUCUCAGAACUACAUUCAGAAAAGUCUGAAGGACAGGUCUAGGAAAAACCCUCCCACUGCCAGCAUAAGCUCUUCCUUUUUCGCUACCUGUUGCACAGAUACCUGCAAGCAGCUCGUUCCCACACGGGUUUACAUUUCCUGCCAUCUAUACAGAUCCUUCUGCACAGAGCUGCAAACACCAAGACUGUGCUCCUUCCUGUGGCAAUGAUUCUUCUGGUACAUGUGAAUAAACCUGACUCUACAGAUAGAUAUCAACUGCAGACAGAUGUAAACAGAAAAAGAGACUUCUUUCCUCCUAAUGAAUUUAGAGACUUCUUCUGACCUCAGUCAGCAUAACUUUCUUGGAUGUAAAAGAGUUUUUCAAGCUGAUGAAUUCACUGUGUGAUUUUUCUGGAAAUCUCAUUUUCUCUGGUGCUGAUGGGAAGAGGACAUCACCUGCUUACCAGCCUGGCAGUAGUCUGGAUAUCACACCAGCCUCAUCAAGCCAGCUUCAACUGAUCCAUCACCUUCAUCUCUCCUGUGACAGGGCAGUUCCACUGUUAAAAAGAUGCACUUACAGAGACUUUUCUCACAGAGAGAGUGGCUACAUUUUCAAACUCACUGCCAAGGAUCAGUGGCCCUCCAUCUCCAUCACUCACAGAAACACAUCCAAAGUUUUCAUCUUAAUUUUCCCACAAAAGACCCUCUUAGGUACGUCAGGACUCUCACCCAUAGUCAGAAAGGCACAGCAGUAAGUUUUAAGUGCACUCCUGUCACGAGAGCUUCAAGGGGAAAGAUUUGUGCAUUUACUUCUAGAUACCUCAGUUAUGGAUGAGCUUAGGCCACAUAAAGGAAUUAAAUGUAAUGCCCUAGGAGAAGUUAGAUGCUGUUUCUGACUGAAUGACUUCAAGAGUGUGUGCAAGUGUUCUAAUAUACGAGAAAAGUGAAAUAGGAAGUAUCUGAAUGUGUUCAGUAGCAUUUUUUUUCUCAAAGCAUAAAGUUUUUAUUCUCUUGGUUUGACCAUAUUUGACUUCUGACACCAGCCUGUUCCUUCUAUAUGAUAUCAGGUAUGACUGCAAUAAAAGAAUUAAAAUUCUACAGAAAUCUCCAAAGGCAUUAAUAUGUUUGCUUGGUCAAACUAUGGAGUCUCAAAGCAAGAAGGAAGCCAAGACAAACGGAAUAUAUUGCUUAAAUCAAGAUGUGGGCAGGUACUGAACUUCCUUUCUUCAUUAUUUCUAAUCAGUUUAAGAGCAUGAUUCAUUUGUUAAACUUCAUUCUGUACAAGUGGGGAGAAAAAAAAGUGAAUUACCCAUUGAAUGCACAAUUGAAUAAUGAAAGGAAGCUGCAGGUACUUCAUGCUUUUGAAAAUUAUUCACUCUUCAAGAAAAUGCGUAGAGACAUAUUUAUGUCCAUCUCUGUUAAGGAAAACACACACAUUUAUGUCUGAAGAUUUUCUUGGAUGAAGUCCAAAGAAAAAAUUUCUGAUAGACCUGGCUGGAGGACUGUGCUCACCUCUGCAUCACUAGACCAGACUAUAUAUAUUAAGAAAUAAUCACAUAGUCUUUCAAGCAGAAGACACUGUCUGAGACUACACUUCAGUGCCCCAAAUGAUGAACGUUUUGCUGAGCUUCCUGUAACGCAAUUACACUGCAGCUCAGAUAGCUAUCACAAGAUAAACCUAAUACUCAACAGAAAAUUGAAAAUAUUUCUUGAUUAGGUGCAACUGACCUAUAAGACAGACUUUGAACUUUUAAUUAAUAUCUUUAAAGGAAGGAGGGUUUUGCACAUGAAAGGGCAACUCCUUAAAAUUAUUUUGCAAUUGAUAAACUGAGCAGUUCAAGAAUUUUCUACCUUAAAUGACCUGUGGUGGCAAUCACUUGGGUAAUCUACAUCUGCUGUCUUAUAGGAAGUCUGCAAAAACCAACCUACAAAAAGAAAUAAAAAAUCUUGCAGAGAAAACAAGGAGAAAAAACAAUUGCAAGUUCCCCCAAAUUCAGUAUAUUUUAUAUAAGACAUGUUUACAAGUGACUCUUGAUGCACAAGCAUUAACUUAAAAAGCCAAGAAUGCAUGCUCUAUUAUGUUAAUGUUUUGAGAAAUGGUAUGGGUGUUAAUGUUAAUGAGAAAAAGCAAUAUUUAUUGUGAAAUAAAAACAUCUGCCUCAUUAGGAAUAACAGAGUAAAUUACA